CCUACGGGAGGCAGCAGUGGGGAAUCUUCCGCAAUGGGCGCAAGCCUGACGGAGCAACGCCGCGUGAAUGAAGAAGGUCUUCGGAUCGUAAAGUUCUGUUCUUAGGGAAGAAGUCUUAGGUUGUGAAUAAUGACUUAAGGUGACGGUACCUAUGGAGAAAGCUCCGGCUAACUACGUGCCAGCAGCCGCGGUAAUACGGAGGAUGCGAGCGUUAUCCGGAUUUAUUGGAUUUAAAGGGUGCGUGGGCGGUCCGUUAAGUCAGCGGUAAAAUUGCGGGGCUCAACCCCGUCGAGCCGUUGAAACUGGCAGACUUGAGUUGGCGAGAAGUACGCGGAAUGCGCGGUGUAGCGGUGAAAUGCAUAGAUAUCGCGCAGAACUACGAUUGCGAAGGCAGCGUACCGGCGCCAGACUGACGCUGAGGCACGAAAGCGUGGGGAUCGAACAGGAUUAGAUACCCUUGUAGUC
rnacentral:rRNA from 1 species